UACGAAGGGGGCUAGCGUUGUUCGGAAUUACUGGGCGUAAAGCGCGCGCAGGCGGUCUUCCAAGUCAGUGGUGAAAGCCUGGAGCUCAACUCCAGAACUGCCAUUGAAACUGUUAGACUUGAGUACGAGAGAGGUGAGUGGAAUUCCCAGUGUAGAGGUGAAAUUCGUAGAUAUUGGGAAGAACACCAGUGGCGAAGGCGGCUCACUGGCUCGUAACUGACGCUCAGGCGCGACAGC
rnacentral:rRNA from 1 species